CUUUCAAGUAUUUUUACUGAAGUACUUUACACCACUGAUAUUUAUUAUUGUUCCUUCUUUCGUUCAUUCAUUUGUUCAUUCAUUAAUUAAUUUGUUCAGUCAUAGGGACAGGAGUUUUCCAUGUGAACUGGCCAGGAGAAACUACUGACCCAACUCUAAGGCCCUCACCAUCCCCCUCAGUCUACCAGUCAGUCAUUAUCCCCCUCAGUCUACCAGUCAGUCAUUAUCCCCCUCAGUCUACCAGUCAGUCAUUAUCCCCCUCAGUCUACCAGUCAGUCACUAUCCCCCUCAGUCUACCAGUCAGUCACUAUCCCCCUCAGUCUACCAGUCAGUCACUAUCCCCCUCAGUCUACCAGUCAGUCACUAUCCCCCUCAGUCUACCAGUCAGUCACUAUCCCCCUCAGUCUACCAGUCAGUCACUAUCCCCCUCAGUCUACCAGUCAGUCACUAUCCCCCUCAGUCUACCAGUCAGUCAUUAUCCCCCUCAGUCUACCAGUCAGUCACUAUCCCCCUCAGUCUACCAGUCAGUCAUUAUCCCCCUCAGUCUACCAGUCAGUCACUAUCCCCCUCAGUCUACUAAGCAGUCAUUAUCCCCGUCAGUCUACCAGUCAGUCGCUAUCCCCCUCAGUCUACCAGUCAGUCAUUAUCCCCCUCAGUCUACCAACCAGUCACUAUCCCCCUCAGUCUACCAGUCAGUCAUUAUCCCCCUCAGUCUACCUGUCAGUCAUUAUCCCCCUCAGUCUACCAGUCAGUCAUUAUCCUUCUCAGUCUACCAGUCAGUCAUUAUCCCCCUCAGUCUACCAGUCAGUCAUUAUCUUCCUCAGUCUACCAGUCAGUCACUAUCACCCUCAGUCUACCAGUCAGUCAUUAUCCUCCUCAGUCUACCUGUCAGUCAUUAUCCCCCUCAGUCUACCAGUCAGUCAUUAUCCUCCUCGGUCUACAAGUCAGUCAUUAACUCCCUCAGUCUACCUGUCAGUCAUUAUCCCCCUCAGUCUACAAGUCAGUCACUAUCCCCCUCAGUCUACCAGUCAGUCAUUAUCCUCCUCAGUCUACCUGUCAGUCAUUAUCCCCCUCAGUCUACCAGUCAGUCAUUAUCCUCCUCAGUCUACAAGUCAGUCAUUAACUCCCUCAGUCUACCUGUCAGUUAUUAUCCUCCUCAGUCUACCAGUCAGUCAUUAUCCUUCUCAGUCUACCAGUCAGUCAUUAUCCUCCUCAGUCUACCAGUCAGUCGCUAUCCCCCUCAGUCUACCAGUCAGUCAUUAUCCUCCUCAGUCUACCUGUCAGUCACUAUCCCCCUCAGUCUACCAGUCAGUCAUUAUCCUCCUAAGUCUACCAGUCAGUCAUUAUCCACCUCAGUCUACCAGUCAGAUUAUCCCCGUCAGUCUACCAGUCAGUCAUUAUCUCCCUCAGUCUACAAGUCAGUCAUUAACUCCCUCGGUCUACCAGUCAGUCAUUAUCCACCUCGGUCUAACAGUCAGUCAUUAUCCCCAUCAGUCUACCAGUCAGUCAUUAUCUCCCUCAGUCUACCUGACAGUCAUUAUCCUCCUCAGUCUACCAGUCAGUCAUUAUCCCCCUCAGUCUACCAGUCAGUCAUUAUCCCCCUCAGUCUACCAGUCAGUCAUUAUCCCCCUCAGUCUACCAACCAGUCACUAUCCCCCUCAGUCUACCAGUCAGUCAUUAUCCCUCUCAGUCUACCAGUCAGUCAUUAUCCCUCUCAGUCUACCAAGCAGUCAUUAUCCCCCUCAGUCUACCAGUCAGUCAUUAUCCCUCUCAGUCUACCAGUCAGUCAUUAUCCCCCUCAGUCUACCAGUCAGUCAUUAUCCCCUUCAGUCUACCAGUCAGUCAUUAUCCCCUUCAGUCUACCAGUCAGUUGUUAUCCUCUCAGUCUACCAGUCAGUCACUUUUCCUCUCCGUCUACCAGUCAGUCAGACCACUGUAGUUUUACUGUAGUAUAAAGGAGUGGAAUGAUUAUGUCAAAUAAGUGUUGUUUGACAAGAGAGAAAAUAGCCAGAGAAGUUAUGUUUUUUUUACAUUAGGGAAUGUAAGAGGUAAAUGACGCAAAGCUAUCCAGACUAUCGUACUGUGUGUGUGAGCAUGUGUGUGCGUCGG
ensembl:lncRNA